rnacentral:rRNA from 1 species
GACGAACGCUGGCGGCGUGCUUAACACAUGCAAGUCGAACGGAGGAUUUAUUUCGGUAAAUCCUUAGUGGCGAACGGGUGAGUAACGCGUGGGCAACCUGCCCUUCAGAUGGGGACAACAUCCCGAAAGGGGUGCUAACACCGAACACGAUCACGCUGCCGCAUGGCGGUGUGAUGAAAGAUGGCCUCUAUUUAUAAGCUAUCGCUGAAGGAUGAGCCUGCGUCUGAUUAGCUAGUUGGUGGGGUAACGGCCUACCAAGGCGAUGAUCAGUAGCCGGUCUGAGAGGAUGAACGGCCACAUUGGGACUGAGACACGGCCCAAACUCCGACGGGAGGCAGCAGUGGGGAAUAUUCCGCAAUGGACGAAAGUCUGACGGAGCAACGCCGCGUGAGUGAUGAAGGUUUUCGGACUGUAAAGCUCUGUUGUUUAGGACGAAAGUGCCUGUUGCGAACAGUUACAGGUAUUGACGGUACUGAACGAGGAAGCCACGGCUAACUACGUGCCAGCCGCCGCAGUAA